UAACUGCGAGUGAAGCGGGAAAAGCUCAAAUUUAAAAUCUGGCAGUCUUACUGUCCCGAGUUGUAAUCUGGAGAAGCAUUUUCUGUGCUAGACCGUGUACAAGUCUCUUGGAAUAGAGCGUCAUAGAGGGUGAGAAUCCCGUCCAUGACACGGAUUACUAGUGCUUUGUGAUAUGCUCUCGAAGAGUCGAGUUGUUUGGGAAUGCAGCUCAAAAUGGGUGGUAAAUUCCAUCUAAAGCUAAAUAUUGGCGAGAGACCGAUAGCGAACAAGUACCGUGAGGGAAAGAUGAAAAGCACUUUGGAAAGAGAGUUAAACAGUACGUGAAAUUGUUGAAAGGGAAACGCUUGAAGUCAGUCGCGUUGUCUGAGACUCAGCCUUGCUUGCAUGGUGUACUUCUCAGUUAACGGGUCAACAUCAAUUUCAGUUGGUGGAUAAAGGCAUUGGGAAUGUGGCACCUUCGGGUGUGUUAUAGCCCUUUGUUGCAUACACUGACCGGGAUUGAGGAACGCAGCACGCCACUAAGGCCAGGGGUUCGCCCCAUGUAACGUGCUUAGGAUGUUGGCAUAAUGGCUUUAAGCGACCCGUCU
rnacentral:rRNA from 1 species